ensembl:lncRNA
UCUGUUCCUAGUGGGCCACUGUCCUGCAGAGUUUGGUUUUAGAAAAACUGUAUUCCUAGAACUCCCGAAUGGAAUAGUUAACAUAAGCCUGUGCGUCACAAGUGACAUAAUCAAAAUAGGAAAAACAUUUCAGAGGUUGUUUCAAUUGAUUACAUUUUGUCGAAAGAUUAUGAAAACAUUAUUUUACAUCCACAAUAACAAAUGAACCUAAAUGAAAUACUAUCAUUUUAAAUUUAUUAUGAUUUUAAUGGCUUAAAAUAUUGAUAAUGUCUGGGCUACUGUGAAGAGCUCUCAAGGUUUGUUGGGUUUCGGUGUGUGUCUUCUGAUUACAUGCAACUGCCCCGGGGUGAAUAGAGAGAGAAUGACAGAAAUGGAAGGAGGUAAAACAGAGGCAGGGAGGGAGAAGGAGCUAAUGCAUGGUGUGUACUCAGCUAGUAAACUUGAUGCUGAUGGUUCCCUAGGCUUUAAUAACACACAUACACAAAUCAAACACACACACACACGUUUUCCCCUAGUGCACCUUGUCCUCAGGAAAGUCUUCAUCAGGGACAUUUCUUUUAUGGCCUCUGAAUGGACAUUGUGUAGCAAUGUAUUCAGACUCAAUCAGAUGACCAGCCCCCAAGCGAAGGCACAGAUAGAAAGAAAGAGAAAGGGAGAGAGAGAACGAGAGAAGAGAAGGGAUGGGACGGGAGAGAGAGAGAGGAAGAAGACUGAAGGGAGGGAGGCGAUUCUGUGAGGUGAGGAUUCUGCCUUACAUCACUGAGCAUGUCUUUGUGAGGAUACGAUUGCUACUGUUCUAACUCAUUUUUUAAAGGUCUGUUUUGUGUUGUUUCAAGCAGAACAGUGCUGCACAACUGCGUGUCUGUCCUCAGUGAGUGUACACUGAAAUAACAACAGGUUUUUUCAAGAUAACCAAUAGCGUUGACUACAUUAUCUAGAGACAGCUGAUUUCCCUCCUAAAGUCGAGACAUGGAAAGAACAGAGAACAAAGUGUCCACCAUCUCCCCGCAAAAACAGACAGUAAAAAAUCGAUCCAAGUCCACAGAGGAGGUACAGCAAGCCAAAAAGGCCUUUCAUACACCACAAAAAUCUCUACCGGCUAAACCAGAAACCGAACAACUAGAGGAAACCUCAGAACUGAGUGCCUCAUCAGAGGAGUUCAAAUGAUUGCUCGAUUCAAACUUCGGGGCUUUGAGAUUUAGACAGAUGAGCUGGAAUUAUGGGUAAUCACAAGAGGAUGAUUCAGUGUCUCUGUUUAUAAAAUUGUGAAGUUUUAAUUAGUUUAGUUAGCAUAGAAGAAAACAAUAAUCAUGUAGCUUCUUGAAUUUGUAUGAGUCUGAUAAUGUUUGUGAAAUAAAUGCACAACUGGAUAUCACAGUGAAUUGUGUAUGUGAUUCAUAUUAACAGGUUCAUACAGUACAUGUACAGUUGUUGUGACUUGUAAAUAAUCAAACUUGAAAAACUAAAUUCAAUUAAAAAUAUCACAGAUGCACUUUAUUUUACAGUACAUACCUUAUUGUAUUAUUAAAAAAGUGCAUAGUAUGUGGAAC